UACGGGGGGUGCGAGCGUUGUCCGGAAUCACUGGGCGUAAAGGGCGCGUAGGUGGCCUGAUAAGGGUGUGGUGAAAGUCCGGGGCUCAACCCCGGAUCUGCCGUGCCGACUGUCAGGCUAGAGUGCGGUAGGGGCAGGCGGAAUUCCGGGUGUAGCGGUGGAAUGCGUAGAGAUCCGGAGGAAGACCGAUGGCGAAGGCAGCCUGCUGGGCAAAUACUGACGCUGAGGCGCGACAGCGUGGGGAGCAAACAGG
rnacentral:rRNA from 1 species